rnacentral:tRNA from 1 species
GGAGAGGGUGUAGCUCAGUGGUAGAGCACGUGCUUAGUAUGCACGAGGUCAUGGGUUCAAUCCCCAGCACCUCCA